GAAAGGAGGUAUUCGAAGAUUGAUAAGAUAAUUACAGAUGUUUACCUCGGGUUAAUGGAUCGAAACAAACUAGUAUGAUCGGGAAAUAACGAAUCGUGAAUUAGUAUUCAAAGACGUACAAAAAUAAAAAGAAGAGAAGAAAACGGUAACAAUUUUAAAAAAGUCGAGAAAAACGUAUGAAUUGUAAAAAGUGUGAUUUGGACAGGGCAAUUGAUGUAAACAAACAAAUCAAUCACCACUUGAUAAACAGAAAAGAUAUGGGAAAACUGGAUCGUUUGAAUUCC